UACGUAGGGGGCAAGCGUUGUCCGGAAUCAUUGGGCGUAAAGAGCUCGUAGGCGGUCAGUCGCGUCUGCUGUGAAAACUCGGGGCUUAACUCCGGGCCUGCAGUGGGUACGGGCUGACUAGAGUGCGGUAGGGGAGACUGGAAUUCCUGGUGUAGCGGUGAAAUGCGCAGAUAUCAGGAGGAACACCGGUGGCGAAGGCGGGUCUCUGGGCCGUAACUGACGCUGAGGAGCGAAAGCGUGGGGAGCGAACAGG
rnacentral:rRNA from 1 species